rnacentral:tRNA from 1 species
GGUAGGGUAGCCGAGCUUUCAGGCGGUGGGUUGUAGCCCCGAAGACAAAGGUUUGAGUCCUUUUCCUAUCA